rnacentral:rRNA from 1 species
UACAGAGGUCUCAAGCGUUGUUCGGAAUCACUGGGCGUAAAGGGUGCGUAGGCGGUUUUUUAAGUCGGAUGUGCAAUCCCCAGGCUCAACCUGGGAACUGCAUCCGAGACUGGAAGGCUAGAGUACUGGAGAGGGUGGUGGAAUUCCUCGUGUAGCGGUGAAAUGCGUAGAGAUGAGGAGGAACACCAGUGGCGAAGGCGGCCACCUGGACAGUAACUGACGCUGAGGCGCGAAAGCGUGGGUAGCAAACAGG